rnacentral:rRNA from 1 species
GAUGAACGCUGGCGGCGUGCCUAAUACAUGCAAGUCGAGCGAACAGACGAGGAGCUUGCUCCUCUGACGUUAGCGGCGGACGGGUGAGUAACACGUUGAUAACCUACCUAUAAGACUGGGAUAACUUCGGGAAACCGGAGCUAAUACCGGAUAAUAUAUUGAACCGCAUGGUUCAAUAGUGAAAGACGGUUUUGCUGUCACUUAUAGAUGGAUCCGCGCCGCAUUAGCUAGUUGGUAAGGUAACGGCUUACCAAGGCAACGAUGCGUAGCCGACCUGAGAGGGUGAUCGGCCACACUGGAACUGAGACACGGUCCAGACUCCUACGGGAGGCAGCAGUAGGGAAUCUUCCGCAAUGGGCGAAAGCCUGACGGAGAAACGCCGCGUGAGUGAUGAAGGUCUUCGGAUCGUAAAACUCUGUUAUUAGGGAAGAACAAAUGUGUAAGUAACUAUGCACGUCUUGACGGUACCUAAUCAGAAAGCCACGGCUAACUACGUG